GGUCUAUUCGUCCAACGGUUAAGACGCCGGAUUUUGAUUCCGGCAACCUGGGUUCGAUUCCCAGAUAGACCU
rnacentral:tRNA from 1 species